rnacentral:rRNA from 1 species
AACAAACGCUGGCGGCGUGCCUAACACAUGCAAGUCGUACGAGAAAGGGUCCUUCGGGACCUGAGUAAAGUGGCGCACGGGUGAGUAACGCGUGGAUAAUCUGCCCUUUAGUUGGGAAUAACUCAUCGAAAGGUGGGCUAAUACCGAAUGAUACUGGAUGGCCUCGGCCGUCCAGUCAAAGAUGGCCUCUGCUUGCAAGCUGUCGCUGAAGGAUGAGUCCGCGUACCAUUAGCUAGUUGGUAGGGUAAUGGCCUACCAAGGCGACGAUGGUUAGCUGGUCUGAGAGGAUGAUCAGCCACACUGGAACUGAGAUACGGUCCAGACUCCUACGGGUGGCUG